GACGAACGCUGGCGGCGUGCUUAACACAUGCAAGUCGAACGGAAAGGCCCUGCUUUUGUGGGGUGCUCGAGUGGCGAACGGGUGAGUAACACGUGAGUAACCUGCCCUUGACUUUGGGAUAACUUCAGGAAACUGGGGCUACUACCGGAUAGGAGCUCCUGCUGCAUGGUGGGGGUUGGAAAGUUUCGGCGGUUGGGGAUGGACUCGCGGCUUAUCAGCUUGUUGGUGGGGUAGUGGCUUACCAAGGCUUUGACGGGUAGCCGGCCUGAGAGGGUGACCGGGCACAUUGGGACUGAGAUACGGCGCAGACUCCAACGGGAGGCAGCAGUGGCGAAUAUUGCACAAUGAGCGGACGCCUGAUGCAGCAGCGCCGCGUGCGGGAAGCCGGCCUUCGGGUUGUAAACCGCUUUCGCCUGUGACGAAGCGUGAGUGACGGUAAUGAAUAAAGAAGCACCGGCUAACUACGUG
rnacentral:rRNA from 1 species